GUGUGAAUUGGAGUGAUAACAAUAAGUAGGAAUAUAACACAUAAAUGUAUAAGAUUGGGCCUCCAUUGCUGGCAACUACACAGUGUUGUAAUUGUACAUAUAGAAAUGUAUUGAACCUGGCCUGUAGCAUCUGCCUGGAAGUAAACCGCUCAAAAUCUUUAUUUUAUGAAUGAGUACAUACUCAUCAGCCAAUGUUGCAGCCUCAGCAACAGUUGUAACCUCAGUUCAUUAAUGUAUGUGGUCACCUGACUGAGCAGAGAGUUUUUAAACUGUUCUAACAGGACCAAGUCACACAAACUCUCAAAAAAUUGUCAUCAGAAGCCAUACACCCACGAUUGAAGUGAUUAGUCAGCUCCCUCCAAAACUUUCCUGACAACAGUAUAUCUCAUCGCAACAAUUACCUUACACUUACCUUUUUGUAGCUACUUGUGGUAUGAAUGUAAUACUCUGAGGUGUCAUCAGAUAGAAAAGGAAGGAAGACUGGAAACACUGCAACAAUUAAUUUAAUUUAUCAAAACACUGGGUUUGUUUUAGAAAACCUGUGAGCUCAUGGAAAAAAAGGAAACAUACUGAGAUAGACAGACUGGAUUCUCUAAGGUCUAUAUCAGAUGAAUCUGCCUUCCACCACGUUACUUGUUUUUCAUUUCCAAGAACAUCUUCUGCUUUAUUUUAUCCCCAGUUCAUAUAUUGUAAACAUAAAUUAUCCACACAAAGAACCAACAUAUUUUAAGAUUACAUAUAUUACAUUUGCUAAGUCCAAGUCAACUGCAGGCAGAUGUUAUUUUUCUUCUGUUGUUAGAUGCAGAAUUGUCAGCAGGCGUUUGAGAAACAGCAGACUAAACUGAUCCAGAAGCACAAGCAAGAGGAAGUGAAGAACCUGAAAGAGGAGCUGAAGACUAUAAAGGAGGUUCAUGUCUUCAUCUUAGUCUAUAUCCAUCCAUCUCCAAUAAUCGCUGAGACAAUUCAAACUACAAUAGAACAAAUCUGCAACACCCCGAAGUCACUGCUGUACAUGAAACAAAGUUUUAAAUUGCUCAUAAAGAAAAGAGCAACAAUAAUGAAUACAGAAUUGCAUUGACAAUCUGUGGUCAGUUUGGUAAUUUGCCAUGUUUUGACCUUCAGACUGACAAUAUUAUCACAUUUUUACAUUUAUUUCCAAGACAGAAAACCUUUUACUCAGCAGCUUCACAGUCCAGAUUGUGUGUGUGUUGUCUCUCUCUCAGAAAGCCUCCCAGGCACAGGGUGGCAGCGGCUCGGCUGCUCAGGAAACAGACACAGGACACAUCAUUGUGGACAAGGUCGACCAAUGGGGAGAAUAUAUCAGUCUCAGAAACAUGUCCAGUAAGGUAAUGUUGUUUUUGUGACUGUGUACAAUGUGGUUUUAUAGCCAUUAACAGUGUUUUAAAUCAAGCUAAUCUACGUUUUACCUCAGAAUCCAUCUCCUGUUGAAACAUAUAGAUUAUUAUUUACACAAUGCAUUUAACCCACAGUGUACAGUCCAUGGGCUGUAUUUACCAUUUCAGGAUAACCCUGUGAAUGCAAAUAAAUGGUUUCCAUGUUAAAGUCUGGAUAGAAACAGGUUUUAUAAUUCUGAAG
rnacentral:lncRNA from 1 species